rnacentral:rRNA from 1 species
AUUGAACGCUGGCGGCAGGCCUAACACAUGCAAGUCGAGCGGAGCGGCGGACGGGUGAGUAAUGCCUAGGAAUCUGCCUGGUAGUGGGGGAUAACGUCCGGAAACGGGCGCUAAUACCGCAUACUAUUUGAUGAGCCUAGGUCGGAUUAGCUAGUUGGUGGGGUAACGGCCUACCAAGGAGACGAUCCGUAACUGGUCUGAGAGGAUGAUCAGGCACACUGGAACGGAGACACGGUCCAGACUCCUACGUGAGGCAGCAGUGGGGAAUAUUGGACAAGGGGGGAAAGCCUGAUCCAGCCAUGCCGCGUGUGUGAAGAAGGUGUUCGGAUUGUAAAGCCCUUUAAGUUGGGAGGCGUUACCAACAGAAUAAGCACCGGCUAACUACGUGCCAGCAGCCGCGGUAAUAC